AACUCUUACUUUCUUUUACGAGAACAAAUAAUUAUUGUAUGUUAUUUUUAUUAAAUAAAAUUCAAUAUAUAAUUUUUUUGGUGUAAUACUGUUAUUAAUUUACAGCAUGAUUUAUAACAAACUUGUUUGUGUUUGCUUAACUCUACACUUGAAUCCUAAAACAUUUAUAGAACUUUGUUUUAAAGGAAAAGAAGCGUAAAGUUAAUUUUGAUGUAUCUUCCGCUUUUUUUUUUUUUUUUUUUUUUUAAAAAAAAAAAACUAUUUUGUCAUAAAACCAAGCAAAGUAACCUAUUAUACAUAAAUGUGUAAAGAAUAAUUUUUUUAAAAGUUUAAAACGUUUUUGAAAAUAAAAAUAACUAAGCAUAAUCAUAAAUAAAUAUAGAGUAUUAUCUAUCGUAUUACAUAAUUUGCUAUGUAAAGUUAAAAAAAAAAAAAAAAAAAAAAAUGAAUAGAAGAGUUUUAAAUAGUAAUCAACGGAAUAAUAAUGAAAAACAUACUAAAAAUUUAAACGAAAUUUAUAUUAGCAAUAAAAAAAUAAAAAGUUUGAAAGUAAAUAAUAAGAAUAGCUCAAAUCGUGUAAGGAAUUCGAACCCUAACUGUGUUAAUAAAAACAGUGUUUUUUUAAAUUCUAAAAAUGAGAUCGAAAAAAAAAAAAACACUAUUUUGAGUAAUAAUAUUAAUGAACAUAGAAGUAGUUCAAAAAAAAAAAAAAAUAGUGAAAUGAAAGUGUUUGAAAAUGUAAAUAAUGAAAUGGACUUAUUAAAGAAUUCAUUACAUGUUACAACAAAUUAUUCUUAUCCAAACUUAAAAAAUAAGACACUGUUAGUAUCUUCUGAUUAUUGUGGUACCAAAAUAAUACCAAAAAAUAUAAUUCAAGUGAAAACAAAAAACAAUGAUAAGUUUUUGAGUAACCAUAAAAAUACAUUUUUAAACACUAACAACGACAAUGUACAUACACAUAUCGUGCCGAAUACUUAUAUGUACCCAAGUAGUAACGAUAUGUAUCAAAGUAGUAAUGACAAUUAUAGUAGUGAUAACUACGGUAACCAUGGAAAAGCUAAAAAUGUUCCAAUGGUAAUGUAUACCAAUUCAGAAGUAGAAAUAAUAAAACCAAAAAAUAACAACAAACAUAAUACUAAUGUUAAUAGCAUAAUAAAUCAUAAUGACCAAGCGUUAGAGCUAUAUUAUAAUAUAAGAAAUGGCAAUAGUGAAAUUAAAAAUAAUAAUGAAGCUUUAAAAAAAAAAAUGAAUAAUAAUAAUAAUAAUGCUUAUGGUAGUUACAGUAGUACUUAUAGUGAUAACACAACUAGUCAUUGUAGUAGUAGUAGUAGUAACACUUAUAAUGACAGUAGUACCGGUCGUAAUAAGAGUAAAACUAAUUUGAAACAGAAUGCAUGUAAUAUGCAUAUUAUAAACAAUAAAGUUAUAAAUGAUAUGACAAAUAUCGACAAAAUAAACAUGAACAAAAUAAACACUAAUAAGGUAAAAAAUGACAAAAGAAAUCGAAACUUGCUAUCAAUAAAUAAAAAAAUUGGUGGUAGGAAUUCGACAGACAUGAGUGUGUAUUGUCCGAUAACUUCUAAUAAUAUUUAUGAUAGUAUAUACAUACCGCAUAUAAGUAUUAAAAACAUGAUACGAUCAGAACCUGUAUAUGAUGGUAUUAUAGCUAAUAGUAGUAGUUAUAAUAGUAAUAUUAUCACUAAUUCGGUUACUAAUUCGGUUACUAAUUCGGUUACUAAUUCGGUUACUAAUUCGGUUACUAAUGGCAUGACGAGUGACAUGACGAGUGACAUGACGAGUGACAUGACGAGGGACAUGACGAGUGACAUGACGAGUGGCAUGACGAGUGGCAUGACGAGUGGCAUGACGAGUGGCAUGCUUGAUAACUCCAACAACAAUAACAGUAAUAACAAUAAUGAAGAAAUAAUUAGUAAUGCAAUUAAAAAAUCAGAGAGCACAAAUUUAAUCAAUACAUUAAAUGCUUAUUCGAACGUAAAAGUAGCUGUACGUAUUAAACCUAUAGAAAAUAGAGAAGAUAGCAUUAUAUCAAUUUUUAAUAAAAAUUA
rnacentral:lncRNA from 1 species